GUGGAGUGCGUAACAGUACCAUGCCCCUAUCUCCUCCAAACUGGAUCAGGAAAAGCGACUUUGCUGGGCAAUGAUUCAAUCCAAAAUGCAAGAGCUAUCUUAGAAGUACUUUUCAGAAAGGCAAUAUCCCUUUUACUGGCCGAUGGGGUUCUCUCUUCUAAAAUUGGACUAAAAUUUCCCAGUGGGGUUCUCCAAUUUAACACCUUAUAAAACCUUUAGAAGCUAUGAAGAGAAAGGGAAUAACCUUCCACGUGUCAUGGACAUCCCUCUUAAGCUAACUUUCUCCAUGACGCGCCGAUGAGAUUCUGUGCUGACGGCCUUCAAGUCAAGAUGCACCUCUAUUCAAUUGACAAGCAUGCAGCCACAUGCACGAGCCCUCCUAGGAACAUUACUGGAGUCAUCUUUGCUUGUAACCGCAGGAUUUAAUACCAAUCAUUAUGGAAUG